rnacentral:rRNA from 1 species
UUGAAACUUUUCUUAUUGAGAGUUUGAUCCUGGCUCAGGAUGAACGCUGGCGGCGUGGAUAAGGCAUGCAAGUCGAAUGUCGCACCUUUCAGCUUUUGUGUUAAAAUGUAAAUAUGUAUUAUUUUUAUGUUUUAAAAAGUGAAAAAGACGGUCGUCUAUAUUUUGGUUAUUCAAGUAACCUAAGACAACGUUUCGCUGAACACAAUCGAGGCAAAGGUCGUUAUACUAGAAAUUUCCAACCUUGGAAGUUGGUUUAUUAUGAAGCUUACGCAUCAAAAGAAAAUGCGAGGUAUCGUGAAAAACAAAUAAAACAGGGCGGAAAAGUAUAUGCACAACUAAAACGAAGGAUUGAAAAGUCAAUUCAUGAAAGUUGAAAGGUGCGACAUGGCAAACGGGUUAGUAACGCGUAGGAAUUUCCCCCAAAGUCGUGAAUAAUCCGGAGAAAUCCGGAAUAAUACACGAUGUGCUCUACGGAGUAAAGAUUUAUCGCUUUGGGAUAAGCCUGCGUCCUAUCAGCUUGUUGGUGAGGUAAUAGCUCACCAAGGCUAUGACGGGUAGGGGGUGUGAGAGCAUGACCCCCAACAUUGGAACUGAGACACUGUCCAAACUCCUACGGGAGGCUGCAGUCGAGAAUAUUCCACAAUGGACGAAAGUCUGAUGGAGCGACGCCGCGUACAGGAUGAAGGCCCUAGGGUCGUAAACUGUUUUUAUUGAGGAACAAUUAUUGAGCGUACUCAAUGAAUAAGGGGUUACUAACUCUGUGCCAGCAGUAGCGGUAAUACAGAGACCCCAAGCGUUAUCCGGAUUUAUUGGGCGUAAAGCGCAUGUAGGCGGAUAUACUAGUCAGAUGUCAAAUCUCCGAGCCUAACUCGGAAACUGCAUUUGAAACGGUAUAUCUAGAGAGAGUGAGAGAUCAAUGGAAUUCAUGGUGUAGUAGUGAAAUGCGUUGAUAUCAUGAGGAACACCCAAUGCGAAGGCAUUUGGUUGGCACUUUUCUGACGCUGAGAUGCGAAAGCGUGGGGAGCGAAGGGGAUUAGAUACCCCCGUAGUCCACGCCGUAAACGUUGCAUACUAGAUGUUAGGAGUAUCGACCCUCCUAGUGUCGUAGCUAACGCGUUAAGUAUGCCGCCUGGGAAGUACGAGCGCAAGCUUAAAACUCAAAGGAAUAGACGGGGAUCCGCACAAGUGGUGGAGCAUGUGGUUUAAUUCGAUGAUAAGCGAGGCACCUCACCAGGGCUUGAAACUUAGCUGUGGUUUCUAGAGAUAGAAACGUCUUCGAGAUUGCUAAGCAGGCGCUGCAUGGUCGUCGUCAGCUCGUGCCGUAAGGUGUUCCCUUAAGUGGGGUAACGAGCGCAACCCCUGUCGUGUGUUAUACAUGUCACGCGAAACUGCCCAGACUUUUGAGCACUAGCUCAAAAAUGUAGAAUGUAUCAAGUAGUAUGUAUCAUGUAUGAAUUUAAUUCAUACAAAAUACAUAAUACAAAAUACAUAAUACUUUUUUGUUCGCUAGCGAACAAAAGUCUGGGAGGAAGGAGGGGAUGACGUCAGAUCAGCAUGGCCCUUUGACGCCCUGGGCGACACACGUGCUACAAUGGCCGGUACAGAGGGUUGCGAAAUCGCGAGAUGGAGCCAAUCCCAAAAAGCCGGUCCCAGUUCGGAUUGGAGUCUGCAACUCGACUCCAUGAAGCCGGAAUCACUAGUAAUCGGGAAUCAGCCAUGUCCCGGUGAAUACGUUCCCGGAUCUUGUACUCACCGCCCGUCACGUCAAGAGAGCCGGCAACACCCGAAGGUCCUGUAUCAAAGCAGGGACAACGGUGGGGCUGGUGAUAGGGACGAAGUCGUAACAAGGCAUCCGUAGCGGAAGCUGUGGAUGGAUCACCUCCUUUCUA